rnacentral:misc_RNA from 1 species
GAUGAAGAACGUAGCGAAAUGCGAUAAGUAAUGUGAAUUGCAGAAUUCAGUGAAUCAUCGAGUCUUUGAACGCACAUUGCGCCCCCUGGUAUUCCGGGGGGCAUGCCUGUCCGAGCGUCAUUGCUGCCCUCAAGCACGGCUUGUGUGUUGGGCCUCCGUCCUCCUCCCGGGGGACGGGCCCGAAAGGCAGCGGCGGCACCGCGUCCGGUCCCCGAGCGUAUGGGGCUUCGUCACCCGCUCUUGUAGGCCCGGCCGGCGCUUGCCGACACAUCAAUCUUUUUUCCAGGUUGACCUCGGAUCAGGUAGGGAUACCCGCUGAACUUAAGCAUAUCAAUAAGCGGAGGA